CACAUAUAUGCGCCGGAGGUAAACAGAAGACGUCGGAACGACGUGGGAGAAAAACAGACAGGCCGAAUGGAUUCUUUAUGUGAAGAUGGACAUGAGCUGGAUGGACAUUGUACAUCGGAGAUAGACGCGAAAUGAAUGGACAUUGUCUUCACGUAAAGGAAAGACGGAGCAGCGGUAUGGACGCUUGAUUAAUGGAUGUUAUCUUCAUGCUAAAGAGAGACAGAGCGGUAAUAUGGACGCAUGAUUGACAUACAUCAUUUUCACGUUGAAGAGAGACGGGAAUAAAUGUUUGUUAAGCAACAUUCAACAGGCCAGUCUGUUUAUUUAUGCCACGACCAAGAAACAAAAGAACACAACGCAGGACAUAACAACGGGUGUGAAGGUCCCUCUCUAUCUCCCCACACAUCCACCAACCACUGGAACACAUCUCCAAAGUUCUGCUGGACCAGCUCAGCUUCCCCUCAGAAGAAGUGGCGCCACCUGCCAGAUGAAGGAGCCUUUUGAGAGGCAGCUGGCAUCGUGAUUGGACUGUACUUUGGUCUGUUCCAGUCCAGCAUCAGUUCCAGAGACGGCAGGCAGGACGAUUCAACGGAGGCCUGGUGGACGAAGGCAUGAAGCUGAGUACAAUCCAGAAAACAACAGAGGAGGAGUGCAGCAGCCAGAACAACCAGAGUAGCAUGACCAAAGAACUACAGACUCUUCACAACCUGCUCAAACUCUUGGUACAGGACCUCACCACACGGAUCAAGAAGGUUUCUCUCAUUUCUACUCUGAAGCUCACCUUCUCCUGCUCAAACUGCUGACAAAUGUUUCUGCUGCUCUAAAGUCUGCUCUCCAGAACUUCCUAAAAACUCUCAAAGUCUCUUCUGCUGCAGGUUGCUUUGUAGAACUGUUCCAGAAAACCUCACUAAACCACAUGGAGGGGCCUCAAGAUAGUCGUCCAAAUGAAACCGUACAAAAACCAAACUACUACAACCCAAACACUAAAGUCUCCUGCAGCCUACCAGAGAACCUCUGAGAACAGAGAAUCAGGACAGGAACUCUUACCUUCUGGACAACCAACGUUGGUUCUCAAACAAGAAUACAGAAUGUGUCUGACCAAAAACCUCUGAAGACUCACUACAGCCAAGAUAAAGACACAACUCAGCUGCAUCAAAUCCACUAAUCACUGCACACAUUAGCACAAUGUUCUAACUGUGGCUAAAGAACCACAUUUACCAAGACAACUAUUCAGUACAAAGCCCUAAAACACACCAAGAAACACAUUAAAGAUGAUUUUACUGCUGGAAGCUGCAAGCCAACGCCUAAAGAACAAACUAAAGCAAAGGAACCAAACCCAGUUCUGUGGUGAAGAGAACCAGAGGAAAUUUUUGCCUGCAGCUAAAUAAAGCAGGAAGACACUGAGCUGCUCAGGUGUUCCUGAUAACACCAAGCAGCCACCUGGACAGCCAAUAGGAACACAGCUUCCUGGAAGUCCAGAGGGCUGGCUUAGUGAAGUAAAUUUAGUUUAAAGUUGAAGCAGAAAGUUAACAAAGAAAGUUGAAAACCACCUUCUGAUCCCUGAAAUCUCUGAGUUUUCACACAAAGAACACCUGAACAUGUCAAACUGGUUCCAUAGUAGAACCAUCAUUGUAAAAACGUCAUAGUAUGGUGUGUUGCUCAAAAAACAUUAGGACCCGACUGUCUAGGGUUGCUGAGGAGCAACACAAAAACAGGACAAACACUGGUUUCCAGGGGGUUAGGAGGAUAUUUAUUUGAAAGAGGAAGUUUACAACAACACAGCAUGUGAGCAGAAAAAUCACAGUCUGUCUUUAGUUCAGCUGAAAAUAUUAGUUUUUGUCUUUUUUUAUUGUCCAAUCUUUUCAGGAAGUAGAUGAAGAAUAAUUAAAGCUCUCAUGUAGAAGUCCAACUUAUUUUGGAUCCUUGUGGAGAGUUUAAUCUUAGAGUUUGUAAAGCUGCUGAGUUUUUAGAGUCACAUGGAUUGUUUUGACAUUUAAUAACCGAGUCCUGAAAUAAAAUUACAGUUGUG